GUCAACUACCCAUCCCAUAAAUGGGAUGGGCUUGUAGACAACUGCAAGCCGGGUUGACCAGGGUAAGUUAUGGAGCAGAUGGCAAUGCAAAGAAGUAACUACGUGAGCGCUAGGUGGCAGCAGACCCACUCCGGGAUGCUUCCUCAGUCCCGGACACUGGA
rnacentral:sRNA from 1 species